UACGGGGGGGGCAAGCGUUGUUCGGAAUUACUGGGCGUAAAGGGCUUGUAGGCGGCCAACUAAGUCCGACGUGAAAUCCCCAGGCUUAACCUGGGAACUGCGUCGGAUACUGGAUGGCUUGAAUUCGGGAGAGGGAUGCAGAAUUCCAGGUGUAGCGGUGAAAUGCGUAGAUAUCUGGAGGAAUACCGGUGGCGAAGGCGGCAUCCUGGACCGACAUUGACGCUGAGGAGCGAAAGCUAGGGGAGCAAACGGG
rnacentral:rRNA from 1 species